rnacentral:rRNA from 1 species
UACGUAGGGGGCAAGCGUUGUCCGGAUUUAUUGGGCGUAAAGCGCUCGCAGGUGGUUCGUCGCGUCGUGCGUGAAAGACCCCGGCUCAACUGGGGGAGGUCGUGCGAUACGGGCGGACUGGAGGCCAGUAGGGGGAUGCGGAAUUCCGGGUGUAGUGGUGGAAUGCGUAGAGAUCCGGAGGAACACCAAUGGCGAAGGCAGCUCGCUGGGACGGUACUGACGCUGAGACGCGAAAGCUAGGGAGGCGAACGG